AUGUCACAAACUGACGUUUCUUACUGCUGUGGCUCAUGUGGAUACCCUCUGAAUUUGACAUCUUCAAAUCGAAUCACAUCUAACAUUGCAUCAGAAUACAAAAAGUCUGUUAAGAAAGGGUCAAUCUCCUUUUCAUCAGUUGAUCUCAGCCGCUUUACACAGUUCUCAUUGGUUAUGGUUAUAGUGGACAAUCACCUGCACUUUGUGGAUGUGAGCCUUCCAUUUCGUCGAGCUCUUUGA